AACGAACGCUGGCGGCAUGCCUAAUACAUGCAAGUCGAACGAGAUCUUCGGAUCUAGUGGCGCACGGGUGCGUAACGCGUGGGAAUCUGCCCUUGGGUUCGGAAUAACUUCUGGAAACGGAAGCUAAUACCGGAUGAUGACGUAAGUCCAAAGAUUUAUCGCCCAAGGAUGAGCCCGCGUAGGAUUAGCUAGUUGGUGGGGUAAAGGCCCACCAAGGCGACGAUCCUUAGCUGGUCUGAGGAUGAUCAGCCACACUGGGACUGAGACACGGCCCAGACUCCUACGGGAGGCAGCAGUAGGGAAUAUUGGACAAUGGGCGAAAGCCUGAUCCAGCAAUGCCGCGUGAGUGAUGAAGGCCUUAGGGUUGUAAAGCUCUUUUACCCGGGAUGAUAAUGACAGUACCGGGAGAAUAAGCUCCGGCUAACUCCGUG
rnacentral:rRNA from 1 species